GGGCGUGUAGCUCAGUGGUAGAGCUCUGGUUUUACACACCAGCGGUCGGGGGUUCGAUCCCCUCCGCGCCCAC
rnacentral:tRNA from 1 species